rnacentral:rRNA from 1 species
GUAGGGAAUAUUGCGCAAUGGGGGAAACCCUGACGCAGCAACGCCGCGUGAGUGAGGAAGGUCUUCGGAUUGUAAAACUCUUUUAUUAGGGAAAAUGUCUAGGUGGCUAAUAUCCACUUAGAGUGAUGGUACCUAAGGAAUAAGCACCGGCUAACUUCGUGCCAGCAGCCGCGGUAAUACGAAGGGUGCAAGCGUUGUUCGGAAUCAUUGGGCGUAAAGCGCGCGCAGGCGGGUCAGUAAGUCAGGUGUGAAAUCUCGGAGCUCAACUCCGAAACUGCGCCUGAAACUAUUGGUCUAGAGUAUCGGAGGGGACAGGGGAAUUUCACGUGUAGGGGUAAAAUCCGUAGAGAUGUGAAGGAACACCGGAGGCGAAGGCGCCUGUCUGGACGAUUACUGACGCUGAGGCGCGAAAGCGUGGGGAGCAAACAGGAUUAGAUACCCCAGUAGUCC